CCUACGGGAGGCAGCAGUAGGGAAUCUUCCGCAAUGGACGAAAGUCUGACGGAGCAACGCCGCGUGAGCGAAGAAGGCCUUCGGGUCGUAAAGCUCUGUUGUUAGGGAAGAACAAGUACCGGAGUAACUGCCGGUACCUUGACGGUACCUAACCAGAAAGCCACGGCUAACUACGUGCCAGCAGCCGCGGUAAU
rnacentral:rRNA from 1 species